AAGUCGAACGGUGGCAGCAAUGUCAUAGUGGCGCACGGGUGCGUAACACGUAACUAACCUACCUAUAACUGGGGGAUAGCCCGCCGAAAGGCGGAUUAAUACCGCAUAAGCCAUGGACCCGGCAUCGGGAUUUUGGUAAAGAUUUAUUGGUUAUAGAUGGGGUUGCGGGUCAUUAGCUAGUUGGUAGGGUAACGGCUUACCAAGGCGACGAUGACUAGGGGAGCUGAGAGGCUGGUCCCCCACACGGGCACUGAGAUACGGGCCCGACUCCUACGGGAGGCAGCAGUAGGGAAUAUUGGGCAAUGGGCGAGAGCCUGACCCAGCCAUGCCGCGUGCAGGAAGAAGGCUUUCUGAGUCGUAAACUGCUUUUGACAGGGAAGAAUAAGCUGGUCGUGACCAGUGAUGACGGUACCUGCAGAAUAAGCACCGGCUAACUCCGUGCCAGCAGCCGCGGUAAUACGGAGGGUGCGAGCGUUGUCCGGAUUUAUUGGGUUUAAAGGGUGCGUAGGCGGCCCGUUAAGUCCGGGGUGAAAGCCCGCUGCUCAACAGCGGAACUGCCCUGGAUACUGACGGGCUUGAGUACAGACGAGGUUGGCGGAAUGGACGGAGUAGCGGUGAAAUGCAUAGAUACCGUCCAGAACCCCGAUUGCGAAGGCAGCUGACUAGGCUGUUACUGACGCUGAGGCACGAAAGCGUGGGGAGCGAACAGGAUUAGAUACCCUGGUAGUCCACGCCGUAAACGAUGGAUACUCGCUGCGAGCUAAAGAUUGUUCGUGGCUUANGGAAACCGAUAAGUA
rnacentral:rRNA from 1 species